UUUUCCUUUAGUUGAGUUUGUCUCCUAAGCAAACUUUUGCCAUGCCAAGACCUUGAACUUAUCAAACACAUUUGUUUGUGGCGUUUUAAGGCUCAUCACCAUUGAUGUGACGCUUUAACCUAAGUUCUUAUUAAGAAUCCUUUUUUGUGAUGAACCUCAUUAGCUUAUCAAGCAACCUUGCUUGUGGUGCCUCCAUCAUUUUAUUCCUUAACCAUUUCCCUUAUCCAUACACAAACAGUGGCCAAGCCAAAUCACAAUUGUGCCCAUACACCUAGCCCCUGCACAAGUCGUGGCCAAGCCACACACACAACCAACCCAAUUGUGACCAUACACAUAACCUAUACACCAAAGCUGAAACAAAAGCCAUACAAAAGUCAUGACUAAACAAAUCUACUCCACAAACACUUUGAAUUCAUUUUCAAUCAAAAGAAACGAUCCAAAAGAAGACGACCUUAAGAAGUUGUCAUCAAGUUAGUUGUGAUUGACAUGUGAAUUGGAUAGGGUCUAAGACCAUGAGAAUGAUUGGUCAAGCUUGUUUGUAGAGGAAACUUCUACCCUAUUUGAACAAGGAGCUUAUGUAAAUGAAGUUAAGAGGAAAAC
rnacentral:lncRNA from 1 species